GCAGCCAAAGAGUGCAAACUGGCGACUUCAAGAAGUUGGAAGCAAUUUUCCCAGGUUAUCAGUGUUGGGAGAAGGACAUCACAAACGUCCAUCAGAGGAGCAACCUGGUACUGAAAGAGGUCCACAACUACUCCACAUUUCGCCAAAUGGCGAAAACGGCGAAAGAAAAAAAAGCAUAAUGUUGUGCUUUUUUUAUUUUUAACCCUCGAUUGAACCGACCAACCCACCCCUCUCCUGGCACCAGAGAAAUCGACAUUGUUUUGACGCACGAGGACGUCAUGAUUGUGUAGACGAGGUCAAAGGUCGAAAGGUCAAAAAUGUCCAAAUACCGUCUGAUGCCAUUUUUCUAUGUUCGUGUAACACGGUUUAUUAUUUUUAAUAAUUUAUAUAUUUACUCACCUUGCUAGCAGCAUAGACU